rfam:Bacillus sp. MTM 13 119, whole genome shotgun sequence.
UCUAGAGAAAAGCAAACUUUCCGAAAGGAUAGGACGCAAAGCCGCAGAUCUAAGGCAAAUGCUAAGAUGGCUGGGCUGCCACA